GCUGGCAGAGACUUCUCUGAUGAGAAAAUGAUAAGUGUUUUCAAAUGCUGUUCUGGUUAAAAGAAAGCUGAUCCAAGGACUCUACUGCAAAUCAUCUCUUUGGGGUGUUGACUGUCAAGAAAGGUAUUUUUCUGUGCCUUCCUUGCCCUGCCUCUCAGAUGACACCUGUUUCCUGGUGGCAUUUCUUCUAACUUGAGUUAGAUUCACAAUUUCUCAAGCUGCUGGAAGGAUCCUACGAUCAACUUUUCCUGGGGAGACAUGAACAAAUGCCUACUCACUCCAGAUUGGGCACCAUCAAGAAACCAAAUGAAUGACUGUACCCAAGUCUAGCUUAGUGAAGCAAUGCAUUUUUUUGCACUUGUUCCCAGGAAUAUGGAUCUUCGAUGUGAUAAGAAACACCUAAACUCAAAGUAAUUUGAAAGAAUAAACAACUUCAGUUAAAGAAGGUCCCCAAAGAAGUGUAAAGUACAAGUGUAAAACAUGUAGAGUUAGUGAGCACCUUGCAGACACACAGGAUGUACUUCUCCAAGAUGGUGCAAUGGAGCAGAAACAGCUCAUGUCCCUAAUAAGAAGCCACGAGGGACCUCAUUGCUUAUUGAAGAGUCUUGCAGCAUACUUUGUUCGUUGGUCUUUUCUUAAUGGUUGGCUAUUUCUCCUCCAAUUCAAGCCACCCACUGAUCUAAGUCAUUCUUGAACACGAUUAUGAGUGUUUUCAUACAUAUGUGAUGCAUUGAGUAACUGAAUGGAUCCCAUCUGGGAGAUAUAUAAAGUGGACACUGAAGUGACUCAUCAGGCAGCUGCAGAGAAUACACAGAUGAGAAUGGCAGGGAACUCCACCAUGAAGAUGCUGAGCAUCAUCCACACCAUUUCCAGAAGAUGGAAAAAGCCACAUGACUGUGGAACACCACAAAAUUGAGGAAGAGUUUGAAGCUCACGGCUGCCAGAGUGAAACCUUGGGCUCUGGUAUUAGCUGCCUUGUACAUGGCUGAUUGGAACACAAAGGAAAAUAAUCUUGUAAGUUGUU
rnacentral:lncRNA from 1 species